GGCUGAGUGGCAGAAUGGCUAUGCAGCGGAUUGCAAAUCCGUGUAUCUCGGUUCGACUCCGGGCUCAGCCUCCA
rnacentral:tRNA from 1 species